UAGUCCCAGUUCAGAUGUGAGCCACCACAGUGAAUAUUAUGCCUAGAUGAGGAUUUUAAAAUGUUUGUCAUUUUGUUUUUUUCUCUGUCUUUGCUAACAGACAUUGUGAUGUCGUCGCUUACAAUCCAACAAUCACCUCCUCUGAUAAAACCUGAGCAAGCAGAAGCCCGUCUUGACUGUUACCAUGGAGACAACAACUACCCCUACAUGCUCUGGUACCGGCACAAGUCGGCAGCAGGAGGCCCGGGGGGCAUGGAGCUGAUCGGACUGCUUCACUACGAAAACCCAAACGUUGAGGAGAACUUUGAAGCACGUUUCAAGAUGACGGGCCACUCAAAAGGCCGAGCUCAGCUUGUCAUCUCCAACAUAAUCCCAGCAGACAGUGCAGAGUAUUUCUGUGCAGCGAGUAAGCACAGUGUUUCAACUCCUCUGGCUCCUUUACAAAAAGCUGGUGGCCCACAGUCACAUGCACCUGCAUCAACAAGCCAAACUGCUCGAUAA